rnacentral:rRNA from 1 species
CACUCCUACGGGAGGCAGCAGUGGGGAAUAUUGGACAAUGGGCGCAAGCCUGAUCCAGCCAUGCCGCGUGAGUGAUGAAGGCCCUAGGGUUGUAAAGCUCUUUCACCGGUGAAGAUAAUGACGGUAACCGGAGAAGAAGCCCCGGCUAACUUCGUGCCAGCAGCCGCGGUAAUACGAAGGGGGCUAGCGUUGUUCGGAUUUACUGGGCGUAAAGCGCACGUAGGCGGACUAUUAAGUCAGGGGUGAAAUCCCGGGGCUCAACCCCAGAACUGCCUUUGAUACUGGUAGUCUUGAGUUCGAGAGAGGUGAGUGGAAUUCCGAGUGUAGAGGUGAAAUUCGUAGAUAUUCGGAGGAACACCAGUGGCGAAGGCGGCUCACUGGCUCGAUACUGACGCUGAGGUGCGAAAGCGUGGGGAGCAAACAGGAUUAGAAACCCGAGUAGUCC